CUUUUUUUUAAUUAAGUUUUCAUUAUUUUUCUAAGCUGCAAUUUAUUUAUUUCUUUUUUUUAUUCUCUAAAUCUACAAUUUUGUUGGUUUUACUUUAUGUACAAAAGGGGAGCACAAAGGAUUCUUUUCAAGGGACAGUGCGAAGGUGUCAAGUAGAGGGAGGCGAUCCCGAGCCGCUCAGCGUGGUUUCGUCGGACGCCAGCGUCGGAGAUCGUCCAAUUUGAAGUGAGGAGGAAGGGAAGAAGGGAGAACCCGGAGAAGGUGCUCAAUCAAUGGGGAAGGCAGCUUUAGUUCGAGCAAUACCUUCUGAAGAUGCCUUGCGCCCUCCCUGGUCAUCAUUAGGGAUGACGGAUAGAGAAGAACGGAGAGGGACGUCUUGGAGGAGCUAGGGUUGUAUCUCAUGAGGACAGCUCCUUUUGCGUUUACCCUGAAGGAUUUUUAACCAUGAUACCACGCCAGAACAAAGAGCGAAGGUCAUCUAUUCUCCCGAGCAUCUAAACCUGUUGUGGGUUCAUCCAUGAAUAUGAUAGAAGGGCUUGAAACCAACUCCACUGCUAUCGUCAGACGUUUCCGUUGUUCUGCUUCUUUCUGAAGAAGCUGGCCAUAAUGGGAAGAGCCAAAGGAAUCUGAGAACUUCUGCACGGGUACGUACUGGAGACAAGUGAUCAGGAACCUGUUAACUUUAAGGAACAACUGGUAGUUGGUACCUCUUGAAGGAAGUUGGCGACGUUCUUCCUAUCAGGACAUUUGAAGCCCAUCGACUCAAAAAAUUCAAGAACAUGUUGCCGUGGUCCUUGGUAAGCAAUUCGCCCCUCACAUAAGAGGAUUAUGUCAUCAAACAGGUUAAAUGCCUCUCGAGUAGGUUGAAGUAAAGAUAUAACCAUGGUGAGAUCCAAAACAUGCGUCAACUGCUGCAAAUACUUGAGAAUCUGAAAUGUAGUGGAGCUAUCAAGCCCAGUUGAAAUGUCAUCCAUGAAAAAACAUUGUGCUGGUGCCGCUAGCAUUUCUCCUGCAAGACAAAAGCAUGUUACCAAGGGGAGGGAUACAAGAUCAACCAUGUGUUUCCUACCUAUGGUGACUCUUUUCUUUUGUCCUCCGGAUAUUCCCCUUCUCAUUUCAUCACCUAUUAGUGUGUCGGCGCACUCAUCCAAGCCAGUUAUCUGAAAGGUUAAAUCAUGACUAAUGUGAGCAGAAUUGUUGCGGAUAAGAACACUUGCAGUUCAAUAUCUUUAUUGCUACAUUUGUUUGUAGAAAAGAAGUUUCUCUUAUCAUUUCAAUUAGCUACUGGCAUGCAAAUAAUGCUGAUAAUUCUAUCCC